GACGAACGCUGGCGGCGUGCUUAACACAUGCAAGUCGAACGGUGAAGCGCCUUCCUUUUUGGUGGGUGUGGAUGAGUGGCGAACGGGUGAGUAACACGUGAGUAACCUGCCCCCUUCUUCUGGAUAACCGCAUGAAAGUGUGGCUAAUACGGGAUAUUCUGGGUCUGUCGCAUGAUGGGUCUGGGAAAGAUAUUGUUUCGGUGGGGGAUGGGCUCGCGGCCUAUCAGCUUGUUGGUGGGGUGAUGGCCUACCAAGGCGGUGACGGGUAGCCGGCCUGAGAGGGUGGACGGUCACACUGGGACUGAGACACGGCCCAGACUCCUACGGGAGGCAGCAGUGGGGAAUAUUGCACAAUGGGCGCAAGCCUGAUGCAGCGACGCCGCGUGAGGGAUGGAGGCCUUCGGGUUGUGAACCUCUUUCGACAGUGAAGCAGGCCUGCCUCGUUUGUGGGUGGGUUGACGGUAGCUGGAGAAGAAGCGCCGGCUAACUACGUG
rnacentral:rRNA from 1 species